rnacentral:misc_RNA from 1 species
UCCGUUUUCACAACGGCAGUCUCUCUAGAGUCCCCGGCCGAACCGUUGGCAACUAGAGACAAGGGUUUCGCUCGUUGAGGGACUUAACCCGACAUCCCACGACACGAGCUGACGACAGCCAUGCACCACCUGUGCAAGGCCCUUACGGACCUCAUAUCUCUAUGAGAUUUCCCUGCAUGUCAAGCCCAGGUAAGGUUCUUCGCGUUGCAUCGAAUUAAACCACAUGCUCCACCGCUUGUGCGGGCCCCCGUCAAUUCCUUUGAGUUUUAACCUUGCGGCCGUACUUCCCAGGCGGGGUACUUAAUGCGUUAGCGUCGACACUGCAGGGGUCAAUUCCUGCAACAUCUAGUACCCAUCGUUUACAGCGUGGACUAC